rnacentral:lncRNA from 1 species
CGAUAUAAUGGCGAACUGAACCUUCAACAAUUCACAAUCUGGUUGUGAAUGUAAGGGAGCCUAACGUUACUCCCAACACCUCAACGCACGACUCGAACUCGCAGCAAAAUCCUAAGUGUGGGUCGGUUAGCGGUCGGCCAAAGGGAACGUGGCGGCUGGGCUUCACAGAUGGAGACCGUCGCGAACAGACCGCGAAUCUGAACGGUUACAGCAAAUCUGAACGGUUACAGCAACUAGUCGGCCGACGUCGAUAGCAGGUGGAGCGGCGGUUGUGAGCGGGGAGCGUGGUCGACGGAGACAGAAUCGGCGAUGGAGACGGCAGAUUGGCGCGCGGGACGACUGCUGCAAGGUUGCUUCGCGAACCGGAGAUGGCGGCCGACGGUUGCAGACGGAGAGGCUGCAGCGGCAGCUGGGUAUAGUAGAAAAGAAAGAGAAACGGAAGAAGAGAAAUUUGGGGUGGCCGGCCGUAGAAAACGAAAAGAAAAGAGGAAGAAAAAAGAAGAAAGAAAAGAGAAAGGAAAAGAGAAGGAAGAAAAGAGAUGGUUGUGGUUGUAGGUUGAACAGGAAGAGAAAGGAAGAAGAUGAAUAGGAAAAGAGAAAAAUAAAAUAAAAUAUUAUAAGUAUAUUUUUUUCUUUCUUUUAUUAUUAUUCUUUUUUCUUUUUUUUCUUAAAAUAGAAUUAUUAAUAAUAAUAAUAUAAUUAUAAUAUAUUAUUAUUACUUUUCUGUUUCCUUUACUUUUCCUCUUCCCAAAACAAACAUUCUCUCUCUUCAUUAAAUACUAUCAAUUCCAACUUUUUAUCCCUUCUUUAAAAUAACAAAAUUUUAGAUUAUUCAAACUAAUUAUAUUAUUUCCAAUAAUAUAAUUUUCUCAUCCUUCCAUAACAUCAAACACAUAUAUCUAUACUCAAAAUCCUAAAAUAAAUUACCAAGAUCAUUCUCUUUUAUUCAUCCAUAACAAUAUAAAAAAAAUCAAUUUUCAUAAUUAAUUAGAUAUUCUUUCAUAAAUAUUCAAUUAAUUAUAAUCUUCACAAAACAAACAAAUCUCUUAAUUUAUCUAAAAUAACACCCAAAUAAUUCCAACUUAAAUUCAAUUCCAUUAAGAUAAAUUAAAUUUAAAAUUACCUUAAAUUUUGGGAUGUUACAAUCUUCCCUCCUUUUAGAAACUUUCAUCCUCGAAAGUACUAAUCCUCAAUAACUCUAUAAUAUCCCUGGGUAAUGAGCUCUCAUAUCAUCUUCUCGUUCUCAUGUCGCUUCUUUAACUCGAUGAUUCUGCCACAAUACUUUUACUAAUGAAAUUCCUCUAUUACGAAGCAUCAUCACUUCUCUAACCAGAAUCUCAACUGGUUGCACCACAUAGCUCAAAUUCUCGUCAAUCUCUAGUGGUUCAUAGUCCACUACAUGAGAUGGAUCUGCCACAUACUUUCUCAACAUCGAAACAUGGAAAACAUUAUGAAUUGCAGAGAGAAAUGGAGAGAGAAAUGGUGGUAAUGCUAAACGAUAUGCCACAACACCAAUUCUCUUUAAAAUCUCAAACGGUCCAACAAAACGAGGAUUUAACUUCCCUUUCUUCUCAAAAUGCAUAACAUCCUUCAUAGUUGCUACCUGCAAGAACACCUUAUCUCCCACAUCAAACUCAAGGUUCUUUCACCUCAGAUCUGCAUAACUUUUUUUUUUUUCUACUUUGCGUUGUUUGCGUACGUACUCUAAUAUUCUGAAUAAACUCAUUAGUAGACUAAACCAACUCAUAACCCAUCAAUCUCUGUUCACCAACCUCAUUCCAACAAACAGAAGUUCUACAACAUUUACCAUACAAAGCUUCAAACGGUGUCAUGCCAAUGGUAACCUGAAAACUGUUAUUAUAAGCAAACUCCAUCAAAUGUAAGUGAGAGUCCCAACUACCUGGAAACUCUAGAACACAAGCUCGUAGCAUAUCCUCUAAAACUUGGUUCAAACGUUCAGUUUGGCCAUCAGUCUGUGGGUGAAAGGUUGUACUAGAAAUCUAACCUCGUUCCCAUGGCAGUCUAAAGUCCCUUCCAAAACUUGGAAGUAAAAAGUGCAUCUCGUUAGAGACAAUAAUACGGGCACUCCAUGUAGUCUCACAAUCUCAAUCAAAUAUAAUUAUGCUCAUUUACUAGUAGUAUAAGUGGAUUUUUUUUUUUUUAAAUGAAAUGUGUCGAUUUCGUAAGCCUAUCGACAAUAACCCAAAUCACUGUGUAACCCUUCAGGGUUUUAGGCAAUUAUAUAAUAAAAUCCAUAGAUACAUUCUCCCACUUCCACUCUAAUAUACUCAAAGGUUGCAACAAACCUGUUGGUUUCUAUCUUGGUGCUUUAACCUGCUAGCACACCAAGCACUUACUAACAAGAUCUUCCAUUUCUCUCUUCAUAUUACGCUAGUAACAAACUCUUUUCAGAUCCGGAUACAUUUUUGUGCUACUUGGAUGCAUGAGAAAUGGGAAACUAUGAGUCUCAACCAAUAACCUUGUCUUAAUUGCAUUUUCUGUUGGCUCACAUAAUUCUCUCUCAAACAUAAGUUCAUCAUCAAAGGAUAUGGAAAACUCCUUAACUUGCCCUACUUCUACUAGGCAAUGCUUCUCAAUCAAAUAAGGAUCAAUGAAUUGAACCACAAGAAUUCUUUGUCUCAAGAUCGGAUGUACUGACAACUGAGCUAACUGUGAGGUGACUUCCCCCACUAAAACUACAAUCUCAGCUCUCUCGUGGUUUUUGUCUAAUGAAACCUGUCUGGUAAUAAGUGCUGUCAAAAUGUGAUACUUUUCUACAAAGAGCACCAACUUCCACAUUCGCCUUACCUAAAUGGUACAAAAUCUCACAAUCAUAGUCAUUUACUAACUGAAACCAUCUUUGCUAUCUCAUACUCAACUUCUUUUGAGUGAAAAAGUAUUUUAUACUCUUUUGGUUAGAAAAUAUCUAUAUCUUUUCAUCAUGAAUAUAUAGUGCCUUCAAAUCAUUAAUGUAAAAACCACAACUGUCAAUUUCAUAUCAUAAGUUGGACAAUUUUCCUCAUGACUCUUCAACUGACGAGGAGUACAAGCAACUACUUUAACUUGUUGAAUCAUAAUACCUUUUAAACUUUCCUAAAAGCAUCACUAUAAAUUACGAAACUUUCUGAACCAUCAUGUACGGUAAGCACGGGAGUUGUACAAGCUUCUGCUUAAGAUCCUGAACACUAUCCUCAUAGGCUUUGUCCCAAACAAACAGAGUCCCUUUUCUUAGUUAACUGAGUCAAAUGAGUAGCUAUACGAGAAAAUUCUUAUACAAACCGUUAGUAAUAACCUGCUGAACCCAAAAAGACUACGAACCUCACUGACUAUGAAAGGUUGAGGCCAACUGGUAACGACUUCAAUCUUUUAUGAGAUCCACAUAAAUGUCAUCUCUAGAUACCACAUGGCUUGGAAAGAUACUUGGCCUCAUCCAAAACUCACAUUUUGAAAACUUUGCAUACAAUUUGUUGACUCGAAGAGCCUCUAAAACCAUGUUAAAUGCUCCUCAUGCGCUGUCUCUAUUUUGGAAUAAAUUAAGAUAUCGUCAAUAGAUACAAUCACGAAAGUGUCUAAGAGAUCGUUAAACACUUUGUUCAUCAAGUCGUAAACAUUGUUUGAGCAUUUGCCAACUCAAAAGACAUCAUAAUGAACUCAUGAUGUCCAUAUCACGAACGAAAAUCUGCCAUAGGAAUGUCACUGUUCUCUAAUCCUCAACAAGUCAUAACUUUAAUGUAAUUCAAUCUUAAAGAACACGGAAUUAUUGCAGUUGAUCAAACAAAUCCUCAUUCAUUGGUAAAAGAUAUUUAUUCUUAACCGACACCUUAUUCAACUUUCUACAAUCAAAACAUAAGUGCAUCGACCCAUCUUUCUUCUUAAUAAACAAAAAUUGGUGCAUCCCAAGAUAACAUACUUCGUCGAAUGUAGUCCUUGUCAAACAUUUCUUUCAAUUGCACCUUCAAAUCUUUCAACUCUGUUGGGGCCAUUUUGUAUGAAGCUUUAGAUAUAGGAACGAGUCUAACUCUAUCUCAAUAGCAAGACCAAUUUCUGUUUAGCGCGGUAAUCUUAGAAACUCUUCUAGAAAAAUAUCAUAAUACUUUUUCACCACUGAUUCAAAUAACAAAGAAACAUCGACUUCUCUGGUGUCUACCACACUAGUCAAAUACAACAAGUACCCUGGUCAAGCAACUUACUAACCUUCAUAGUUGGGAUAACUUUUAGCGAAACGAUAGUUCCAACCUCUUUGUACUUGAAACUAGCCUCUGGAGAAGGAUUAGAAACUACAUUUUUGCUGAACAUUUUAUGUUCACAUGGUUAAACUACAUUCCAAUUUUCAAACUCCAAACUAGUAACUUUUCAUUCACGAGAAACUCAAAAUUGUUUCUUAAAGUCACAUCAAGACAACCAUGCUCAUCUUCCUUGUUUCUUUUCCAAUACCUCCAUUCUAAAACCAUUUAAUGUGUUUCGUAUAAACUUGACCGUGUAUUUAGUCCUCGUUAAAACCACCUACAUAACUUAUUUUUCUUAGAUUUCCAAUCACAAAACAGACAAUUUCGCUAACAACGUCUUACUUUUCUACUACUCGACCACUCCUUUGAACACCUCUACAUGACAACAUUUUUCCUAAAUUUCACCAUUAAAUCUGUCACCAUUAAAUCAUAACAUUCAUGUAAUUCUAGUUUAACUUAGGCAAGGUCAUAUACAUAAACCAUACAUAUAAGCAUAAAGCAUACCUGACGAGAGACGAAGGGUCGCGUUAGCCAUAGGGACACAAAAACAUAGACUUACAUCGUAAGUCAGUCUACAGAACCUAAAACUUAGGCUCUGAUACCAACUGUAACGACCCAACUUUUCUAAGUAAGUCGAGAUCGUUAAUUUUUAACAAAUAAAGACUUUAAUUAAUAUAAAACAAAACGUAAACAAUUAAAAAAAAAACAUCUUCAAGUCAGGCCUGAUUUUUAAACAUUCAAGAAAACAUAAAAUAGUACUAUUUACAACAAACGUUUGUAAACUAAAUUUCAAUUCAUUUUAAACCUCACAAGAACCCAUAAGCGGAAGCAAAAACACGUUUUCUAUGGCAUCACGCUUCCUUCCUGCCCCUCGCCUGUUUGCCGCCUUUAUUACCUUUGCCUGAAAAUUAAACAUAAGAAGGGUGAGUAUUUUAAAUACUCAGUAAGAGACCCUCUACUGGUCCCGUCAGGAGAAAAUAAAUUAUUAACGAUCUAUUGGGACACCCUGUACAGUCACAGUCUUGUGAUCCCGUAGGAUACACAUCUCAGUCUAACGCCCCGAGGGACGUACAUAUCAGUCUAGUGUUCUGCAGAAACACAUAUCAGUCUAAUGCUCCCGAAGGUGCAAAAUAAAUUGGUGAUCCCGUGGGACACCUACAAGGUACACAUCCCAAUAAAUCUAACAAUUUUCCCCUCAUUCCAUUCAAUCCAUCCUUCAGUUGCUUCAAAACAUAAAAUUUUUUCUCUCAACGUCCUAACAGUCAACUUACUUUACUUUAGUCAUCUGUCCGUCAAUAAUAUACUAAUACGUCAGUCAAUCAACUAUACAGUCAAUACACCCCUCAGUUCACCAGCACACAAUCAUACUUUAGCGUAAUCGUACACCCAAUCUAAACGAGAAUCACAAGUUCAUAUCUACAUCUCAUACCAACACAAUCUACAAUCUUCGUCAUGUCCACAUACACACACUUAUAUAUAUUUUCCAUGACAUUCACGAUAUACAUUCGACGUUAUGUCUACUUCAAUUCACAUGCAUUCAUAUAUAUUUUCAGUCAAACCACAGUAUACAUUCAACACACAUACAAUUCACAAUCACAAUUGAGCCCAGUAGAAAAUCCCUUACCUGAAAGUUAGGGAAGCUCCUUAAUCAACUAACGUCCUCGAAACAAUCCUAAGCAUAACAACACAAAAUUCAAUUACUUUCACAAUACAUAUCCCACUUAUUUUCCUCAACGUAAGUUUCAACUCACCGAUAUAAUGGCGAACUGAACCUUCAACAAUUCACAAUCUGGUUGUGAAUGUAAGGGAGCCUAACGUUACUCCCAACACCUCAACGCACGACUCGAACUCGCAGCAAAAUCCUAAGUGUGGGUCGGUUAGCGGUCGGCCAAAGGGAACGUGGCGGCUGGGCUUCACAGAUGGAGACCGUCACGAACAGACCGCGAAUCUGAACGGUUACAGCAACUAGUCGGCCGACGUCGAUAGCAGGUGGAGCGGCGGUUGUGAGCGGGGAGCGUGGUCGACGGAGACAGAAUCGGCGAUGGAGACGGCAGAUUGGCGCGCGGGACGACUGCUGCAAGGUUGCUUCGCGAACCGGAGAUGGCGGCCGACGGUUGCAGACGGAGAGGCUGCAGCGGCAGCUGGGUAUGGUAGAAAAGAAAGAGAAACGGAAGAAGAGAAAUUUGGGGUGGCCGGCCGUAGAAAACAAAAAGAAAAGAGGAAGAAAAAAGAAGAAAGAAAAGAGAAAGGAAAAGAGAAGGAAGAAAAGAGAUGGUUGUGGUCGUAGGUUGAACACGAAGAGAAAGGAAGAAGAUGAAU